GGGGAAUAUUGGACAAUGGGGGCAACCCUGAUCCAGCAAUGCCGCGUGUGUGAAGAAGGUCUUCGGAUUGUAAAGCACUUUCGACGGGGACGAUGAUGACGGUACCCGUAGAAGAAGCCCCGGCUAACUUCGUGCCAGCAGCCGCGGUAAUACGAAGGGGGCUAGCGUUGCUCGGAAUGACUGGGCGUAAAGGGCGUGUAGGCGGUUUACACAGUCAGAUGUGAAAUCCCCGGGCUUAACCUGGGAGCUGCAUUUGAUACGUGUAGACUAGAGUGUGAGAGAGGGUUGUGGAAUUCCCAGUGUAGAGGUGAAAUUCGUAGAUAUUGGGAAGAACACCGGUGGCGAAGGCGGCAACCUGGCUCAUGACUGACGCUGAGGCGCGAAAAGCGUGGGGAGCAAACAGGAUUAGAUACCCUGGCAGUCCA
rnacentral:rRNA from 1 species